rnacentral:rRNA from 1 species
AUUGAACGCUGGCGGCAGGCCUAACACAUGCAAGUCGAACGAGUGGCGGACGGGUGAGUAAUGUCUGGGAAACUGCUUGAUGGAGGGGGAUAACUACUGGAAACGGUAGCUAAUACCGCAUACCAUCAGAUGUGUCCCGAUGGGAUUAGCUUGUUGGUUGGGUAACGACUCACCAAGGCGUCGAACCCUAGUUGGUCUGAGAGGAUGACAAGCCACACUGGAACUGAGACACGGUCCAGACUCGUACGGGAGGCAGCAGUGGGGAAUAUUGCACAAUGGGUGCAAGACGGAUGCAGCCAAGCCGCGUGUAUGAAGAAGGCCUUCGGGUUGUAAAGUGCUUGCAGCGGGGGUGCGUUACCCGCAGGAGAAGCACCGGCUAACUCCGUGCCAGCAGCCGCGGUAAUUC